rnacentral:rRNA from 1 species
UGGGGAAUUUUGGACAAUGGGCGAAAGCCUGAUCCAGCAAUGCCGCGUGUGUGAAGAAGGCCUUCGGGUUGUAAAGCACUUUUGUCCGGAAAGAAAUCCUUGGCUCUAAUACAGUCGGGGGAUGACGGUACCGGAAGAAUAAGCACCGGCUAACUACGUGCCAGCAGCCGCGGUAAUACGUAGGGUGCAAGCGUUAAUCGGAAUUACUGGGCGUAAAGCGUGCGCAGGCGGUUUGCUAAGACCGAUGUGAAAUCCCCGGGCUCAACCUGGGAACUGCAUUGGUGACUGGCAGGCUAGAGUAUGGCAGAGGGGGGUUAGAAUUCCACGUGUAGCAGUGAAAUGCGUAGAGAUGUGGAGGAAUACCGAUGGCGAAGGCAGCCCCCUGGGCCAAUACUGACGCUCAUGCACGAAAGCGUGGGGAGCAAACAGGAUUAGAUACCCUGGUAGUCCACGCCCUAAACGAUGUCAACUAGUUGUUGGGGAUUCAUUUCCUUAGUAACGUAGCUAACGCGUGAAGUUGACCGCCUGGGGAGUACGGUCGCAAGAUUAAAACUCAAAUG